rnacentral:rRNA from 1 species
GUAGGGUGCAAGCGUUAAUCGGAAUUACUGGGCGUAAAGCGUGCGCAGGCGGGUUUUGUAAGUCUGUCGUGAAAGCCCCGGGGCUUAACCUGGGAAUUGCGAUGGAGACUGCAAGGCUUGAAUCUGGCAGAGGGGGGUAGAAUUCCACGUGUAGCAGUGAAAUGCGUAGAGAUGUGGAGGAACACCGAUGGCGAAGGCAGCCCCCUGGGUCAAGAUUGACGCUCAUGCACGAAAGCGUGGGGAGCAAACAGGAUUAGAUACCCUGGUAGUCCACGCCCUAAACGAUGUCUACUAGUUGUCGGGUCUUAAUUGACUUGGUAACGCAGCUAACGCGUGAAGUAGACCGCCUGGGGAGUACGGUCGCAAGAUUA